rnacentral:lncRNA from 1 species
CGCGCGUGCCCCGCCCCCACCGCGCCUUCGCCCGCUCCCAUUGGCUCCUCCUCGGGAGGGGGGCGUGGCCCGAGGCAAGCCUCCCGCUGUGAUUGGCUGGAGGGGCGGGGACCGCGCUCUGGGCCACGCCCUCAAGUGUUCUCUCAGCAGAUGGCGUAUAAAAGAGGUAUCCUUCCGCAAAGCUCUGGGGAGAAAAGUCCUCUAGCUCGUCCCCUUCCACGAAGACCUCAAAGACGGGGCCAAAUGGAAAAUGAUUGAACUUCUUCCCUUGGAGAGACGUUAUUCUGUUGUCUACAGGAUCUGACAGGAAGUUCCUGCAGCUCAGGCUCAUGGGCUUAUGUAGCCAGGUAUGAGCCCAGCAAGGGGAAGAACAGACAUUCCUAAAGCCACUGGGACCGCACUGAAUUCCAAAGUGGAGCCCACAGUGCAGAUGGCAAUUGAUUCUGGAGCUGGCAAUUAUGAUACKCUUUGCUGUAUUUAUCCGUACAAAACACGGUCUGAAUGCAGUGCUGGGAUGGACGAGGAUUGGGAUGUGGACUGCUUUUCCUCCGGGCCUGCUGAGCCAAAGCACGGAGAGGAGCGCAAGGGGAGGAGCAGCAGUGGCACGAAUGCCUCCGAUGAGGCCCAUGAAACGCUAUCUCUCGCAGGCAGCUGCUGAGAGCCUCACGAYGUGUGCCAGGCACAGCGUUCCUGCCAGCCCGCAGCUCCUCACCUCGCGCARCGGUCAGGAGUCCCACACCAGCACUACAGGUUCUCCACACAGACCCUUCCUGCAAAGUGUUGCCUCGGUGGCAAACCGAUUCCCCUUGCUCAUCAGCAGCCCUUCUUCACUGGGCCAAGCGGCUCUACUGAAAGCAGUGCAAAGCAGAACAGASCAGCUUACUAAGCCAUCUACCUGCAAUAAAUUCCCUUCCUAAAAUAGCUGCAGAGCCUUGAAGUCUUUUUAUAGCAGCUACACUGGCCUUUGCUGUUCUGAAAGACUGUAAAGAAAAUCUUGUAGUGCUAACUUGUAGGUAAACUGAUGCAAUUCUGACCGAGUUUGAAGAGAGCCUGAAGCAAUAGCUCUGGAAAGAGUGAGUUACCUGCUUAA